rnacentral:rRNA from 1 species
UCGAUUAGAUACCCCGGUAGUCCUAGCCGUAAACGAUACUCGCUAGGUGUCGGCCACGGUGCGACCGUUGUCGGUGCCGUAGGGAAGCCGUGAAGCGAGCCACCUGGGAAGUACGGCCGCAAGGCUGAAACUUAAAGGAAUUGGCGGGGGAGCACCACAACGGGUGGAGCUUGCGGUUUAAUUGGAUUCAACGCCGGAAAUCUUACCGGGACCGACAGCAAUAUGAAGGCCAGGCUGAAGACUUUGCCGGAUUAGCUGAGAGGUGGUGCAUGGCA